CAGCUGGGAACACCGGGAGCCCUGGUUAUUUAUGGUCCCUGUCAGGUGGAAGGAGGGGAAAAAAAGAGCCAGAGGGAGGGCCUGCCCUUGAGCCGAGGUGCUGAAACUGUGGGGCUGCGGGAAGCCACAGCGAUUCCAGAAGCUCUCCGAGAAGCGCCUGAGAGUACAUGGAUCCCCACUGCUUUUUGUCAAGAGUUGGAAGAAAGGAGCAGAAGGAAAAAGCAAGGGUUGAAAGUUGUUUUCCCAUCUGUCUGGAGAUAAGAAUCAUAAAGAAAUUUCCUUAAGGUGAAGAGGUCGUGUGUGUGGCAGAGGCUCUUCUGUGUUAGGCUGGAGGCCCAGCUCAGGACUCCAUUACCUUCGGGAAGGGGUGGAGGCUCCGGGAGAGGCUGCAGCCCCAGGCCAGGUAAAGAACAGAGCUCCCUCCCUCAGCCUGGAAGCAGCAGAUGCUGGGCCUUCCCUUGAGCUUUUUGUUUUCCAGCAUCUCCUAGCAAUGGUACUAGGUUCUUUCAAAACAGUUUACCAACUACAUUCUGGAAUAUAUAUAAUGCUUUCUUGCUUUCCUUCUCAAAAUAUGUGAGAACAAUGGGUAAGUUGAGACAACAGUUAGAUGAGCAGUGGGUGAAAUAGGUGGUCUUAAGAAGGCUAAGGAAGUGUGUGUCAUUAAGGGGUUCAUGUACUUCUUGUGGGAAGCCAUGUGCCACACUCUGCCUGCUUUUUCCCAAGCUCUAGGUGUUCAUAAGAGCCAGCCUUCCCAGGUGGCCAAAGAGAAAUCAGGCUUGACUGGCAAAGUUUGCACAUCUCUUAACCAACAAGAACAAGUUGCUGUUAUCCCACAGAACAAAUGACUCUUUCUGCUCAGGCUAGUUUUUUGUUUUGUUUUGUUUUGUUUUGUUUUAAAGAGUAAACAAAGUCCAUUUGAUUCUUUACUCUCAAACAUUAUUCUAUUCUUUGUGGCUAGAUGUGCUUCUUUUUAAAAACUGGAUCACAGUUUUUAAACUGUUCCUUAAUCCAAGCUAGAUAUAGUUUCUAAAUAAGCAUGCAUGACUCAGUCUUGGAACUCUUCCAGAUGUAGCAAUGAAAAAUGUCCCCUGUGAUCUUGGUUGGGUUAAUAAACAAACUCAUCCCAGAAAGGAAAACGAUUUCAGUGUCCUUCCUGUGAAGAGGUAGAAAAAGACAAUGUUGGGACAGACACUAUAACUUUUUCAUAUUCUUAUCAUUCUUAUCAAUAUACCUUAACUCUCAUCCAGAAACUGCCCUCUGUCCUCUCAGUAAGAUGACACUGACUUGGUCACAUAAACUUCUGAGACUAGAGACAGAAAGCAGGUAGAAAGAAGUACAAGGUUACUUACCCUGUUCUCAUUAUCUAAAAUCUAUGCUCCUUGUAAAGAAGACUAGACAAUGAAUAAAUCACUAGCCACAAACUAGCCCAGUGAAAUCAGGCACUAAAAUGUUGGUUCUCACUUAGAGAGAAACUAGGUAGCUUAAUUCAAGGUGGUCAUGUCCAUCAUGCCAAUUGAUUCUUUCCUCUAUUUAUUCUUUGUUGGCUAUUUGUCUAGCUUCAACCCAAAAUCCAGACCUCAGUAGUGACAGCUGUUCCUUACUUACGUGUGUAAGGACAGUGUGUGCACAACAGGAACAUAUUCACUGUCCUAGGAAUAAAGGAGUAUCAGGAGCUCAUAUGCUUUGUGAGCAAGCAUUUGGCCUCUUCUGCAUGUUAUAUAUAUUUCCUACCUCCACCUGAAAUAUGUGUGUUUAAAAGGUAAAGACAGGUGGGGUCUGCUGUCAGUUGUCCUCAUUUUGGUUCUGGCCCAGGUGGUCAAAGCACCCCUUCCCGUGUGUAGCAUCUUGCCUUGCUUCUCCACAUCCUCCUAUUCCCAACUCUCUGCACUGCCCUGCCUUCCCUUCCCUGUCCAUUCCCAGUGCUGAUGGUCUGCUUUUUUCUCUCUGCAGCAUGGUUCCCAACGUGAAAGGAAAGGGUUAGGGGUGGUCAGAUUAGGACCCACUUCCAUAAGAAGCAGGUCAGACUUUCCAGGUAGAUGGGCAAGGACUAAAAUAAUUGGAGGGUGGGAGAAGAAAGCAUAUUCAAAAUUACAACUUGUUUUGGCCAGAUGAAAAAAACACCUAUUGUCCUUAACCAAUAAGCAUGCUUAAUUCCCAGCCAUCAAUCCUUGUGUCUGUUUUAUUCCACAGGCCACUCCAGCUACUCAUCCUGUCACGACUUCUUGGGAGAAAAAGUGCCCACACUCCAUUAGAACUACUCUAUUCUGUGUCUAUAUCCACAAUGUCAUGUCAUGGAGGCGGCAGCUGCCUGAGAUCCCCAGGGAUCCCCAGAUUACCUGUGCUCAGCUGACUGGACCCUGUCAGGGAAUCUCCCGCCUUUUCUGGUUUUCUUCCUCAUUGCUCUCCCUCCAUAUCCCUUGGCAUUCCUCUUUCUCUGUACAUGAGAAUGUGCCUGGAGUUUUCUAGAACUGAUUCUCAUCCUCCCUAUGACAUUUCCCGGGGUCCUCAUUCAGGCCGGUGCUUGGUUUCCCGAGCCCCAUUGUGCUGAGUUCUUCUGUGAAGCCCUCUGCUUUCCUGUCUCUCUCUCUCUCUCUCUAAGUUUUAUUUAUUUAAGUUAUCUCUACACCCAUGUGGGGCUCAAACUCAUGAUCCAAGAUCAAGAGUCGCAUGCUCUUCCAACUGAGCCAGCUAGGUGCCCCAUCUCUGACACUUUCUGCACUUAGAACACCUCUUUCCACCUGCCCCCAAAUUUCUGCUUGUCCACAUUCUAUCUAUUCCUUGAAAUGCUUUCUUCCUGAGGCCUUUAGUAUCUCUCAUUCUUUUGAAUUUCCUUGUCACUUUUAUCACUUUUAUCUAUUUUUUUCUGUCGCAUCUAAUUUGAGUAGAAAGAGUAAAAAAACCAAAUUCAAAUUCCAGUUUCUUUGACUAUGUGAACCUGAACAAAUAUCUUAAACCCUCUGAGCCCCAGAUUCCUUAACAUAAAUUACAACAAAUAACACUUUAGAUUAAGAGUAAAUGUAAUUUAGGGGCACCUGGGUGGCUCAGUAGGUUAAGCGUCCAACUUCAGCUCAGGUCAUGAUCUCACGGCUCAUGGAUUCGAACCCCGCACCAGGCUCUGUGCUCAGAGCC